AGCAAGUGAUGUUUUUCUCACGAUGGUCUGCUGAGCCCACCCGGUGGAUGGGCUCUGACGAAAUUGCCAUAUGGCUUAACUGAUGCUUCUUG